rnacentral:rRNA from 1 species
UACGUAGGGUGCAAGCGUUGUCUGGAAUUAUUGGGCGUAAAGAGCUCGUAGGCGGUCUGUCGCGUCGGCUGUGAAAACUUGGGGCUCAACCCCAAGCCUGCAGUCGAUACGGGCAGACUAGAGUCCGGCAGGGGAGACUGGAAUUCCUGGUGUAGCGGUGAAAUGCGCAGAUAUCAGGAGGAACACCGGUGGCGAAGGCGGGUCUCUGGGCCGGAACUGACGCUGAGGAGCGAAAGCGUGGGGAGCGAACAGG